CUUUCAGAAGUUCCAAAGACCCCACACACCUGGGCUCCCCAAACAGCUGGCCAAGUCUGUAUCCAGCACAGGAAUGGAAAAAUCCCAACCCCACUGUUUGACAUCCACCUCAACCCAGUGCCCCGCCUUCAACCCUAGAGAUAUCCUACUGGUGAAAAAGCAGAACCAGAAAGAUCAAGAGAUUCACUCAAAUGGAAAAGUCACCUUUCAGGUUGAAAAGGAAGAAACACACCUGCAAAAUAAUCUUCUCACAGUUGAAAAACAACAUUUGUGAAAUAUCUAAUUGGCAUUUCACAUCACCAUACUCCUUCCAAAAAGAAUUCAGUAACACAUAUAGAAAGCUACUAAAAUUCUAUUCCCUUUA